CGGAGCGAACGACGAGGUUCGAACUCGCGACCUCAACCUUGGCAAGGUUGCGCUCUACCAACUGAGCUACGUUCGC
rnacentral:tRNA from 1 species